rnacentral:rRNA from 1 species
UACGUAUGGUGCGAGCGUUAUCCGGAUUUACUGGGUGUAAAGGGAGCGCAGGCGGCACGGCAAGCCUGAUGUGAAAGCCCGCGGCCCAACCGCGGGACUGCAUUGGGAACUACCGGGCUGGAGUGCCGGAGAGGUAGGCGGAAUUCCUAGUGUAGCGGUGAAAUGCGUAGAUAUUAGGAGGAACACCAGUGGCGAAGGCGGCCUACUGGACGGUGACUGACGCUGAGGCUCGAAAGCGUGGGGAGCAAACAGG